UGUGACUCCCAGGGCUACGUGGGUUCAAAAACAAUUUAAUACAAAAACACAAGCAGGUUCCCCUCCUCUCCUUUGCCUUUGGUCUGGCUCUCCCCAUCGCUGGGUUCAGUGCCUGACUGAAUGGAAAACCCGUCGUCUUGCAGCCACUAACCUGUGAGCGCCGGGUACCUGGAGACCAGGCCCCUCUGCUGGGGGCCCCCAGGAGCGGUGCCCCAUCAUUUUGCAGCCCACUGACUCCCAGCCUGGUGUGAAAACUGAGGCCCGGAGAGGUGAUGUGAUUUGCCUAAAGUCAUGCAACUAGUGGCAGAGCCAGGCCUAGACGCCAG
rnacentral:lncRNA from 1 species